rnacentral:tRNA from 1 species
UAGACACUGGUAAAACAGUACAUCACACAGCCUUGUCAAGGUGGAAUUGCAAGUUAAAGUCUUGCGUGUCUUU